AGCAGAUGGAAGAGAUUGUAUAGGGCAAGAUAUGGGGGAAGGGCUGCAGAGCUUGUAUGCCCUCUCCAGAUUGUUUGGCUGCACCA